rnacentral:rRNA from 1 species
CCUACGGGAGGCAGCAGUGGGGAAUAUUGGACAAUGGGGGGAACCCUGAUCCAGCCAUGCCGCGUGUGUGAAGAAGGCCCUCGGGUUGUAAAGCACUUUCAGUGAGGAAGAACGCCUGGUGGUUAAUACCCAUCAGGAAAGACAUCACUCACAGAAGGAGCACCGGCUAACUCCGUGCCAGCAGCCGCGGUAAUACGGAGGGUGCGAGCGUUAAUCGGAAUUACUGGGCGUAAAGCGCGCGUAGGUGGCUUGAUAAGCCGGUUGUGAAAGCCCCGGGCUCAACCUGGGAACGGCAUCCGGAACUGUCAAGCUAGAGUGCAGGAGAGGAAGGUAGAAUUCCCGGUGUAGCGGUGAAAUGCGUAGAGAUCGGGAGGAAUACCAGUGGCGAAGGCGGCCUUCUGGACUGACACUGACACUGAGGUGCGAAAGCGUGGGUAGCAAACAGGAUUAGAUACCCUAGUAGUC